AACGAACGCUGGCGGCAUGCCUAACACAUGCAAGUCGAACGAGACCUUCGGGUCUAGUGGCGCACGGGUGUGUAACGCGUGGGAACCUGCCCUUAGGUUCGGAAUAACUCCCCGAAAGGGGUGCUAAUACCGGACAAUGUCUUCGGACCAAAGAUUUAUCGCCUUUGGAUGGGCCCGCGUUGGAUUAGCUAGUUGGUAGGGUAAAAGCCUACCAAGGCGACGAUCCAUAGCUGGUCUGAGAGGAUGAUCAGCCACACUGGGACUGAGACACGGCCCAGACUCCCACGGGAGGCAGCAGUGGGGGAUAUUGGACAGUGGGCGAAAGCCUGAUCCAGCAAUGCCGCGUGAGUGAUGAAGGCCUUAGGGUUGUAAAGCUCUUUUACCCGGGAUGAUAAUGACAGUACCGGGAGAAUAAGCUCCGGCUAACUCCGUG
rnacentral:rRNA from 1 species